rnacentral:rRNA from 1 species
CGGCCGUAACUAUAACGGUCCUAAGGUAGCGAAAUUCCUUGUCGGGUAAGUUCCGACCUGCACGAAUGGCGUAAUGAUGGCCAGGCUGUCUCCACCCGAGACUCAGUGAAAUUGAACUCGCUGUGAAGAUGCAGUGUACCCGCGGCAAGACGGAAAGACCCCGUGAACCUUUACUAUAGCUUGACACUGAACAUUGAGCCUUGAUGUGUAGGAUAGGUGGGAGGCUUUGAAGUGUGGACGCCAGUCUGCAUGGAGCCGACCUUGAAAUACCACCCUUUAAUGUUUGAUGUU